rnacentral:tRNA from 1 species
GCUGGCGUAGCUCAGUUGGUAGAGCAGUUGCCUUGUAAGCAUCAGGUCGAGGGUUCGAGUCCCCCCGCCAGCUCCA